UCUUUCACUUCACAACGUUAACGUGCUUCUCAUUCUGGACACACAGGAAGAGACACAGGAAGAGACACAGGAAGACACAAAGGAAGAGACACGGGAAGAGACACAAAGGAAGAGACACAGGAAGAGACACAGGAAGACACGCGGGAAGACACGCGGAAAGACACGCGGGAAGAGACACGGGAAGAGACGCGGGAAGCGACGCGGGAAGAGACGCGGGAAGCGACGCGGGAGGAGACGCGGGAGGAGACGCGGGAGGAGACGCGGGAGGAGACGCGGGAAGGGACGCGGGAAGGGACGCGGGAAGCGACACAGGGAAUUACAACACCACUAUGGAGGGAUGACUACCUAGCUAGCAGCUCAACCACACAGGAUUCAUACACUACUGGAUUCAGGCUGUAAGAAGUACUGCUGUUGACUCUGGAAUGUUGCCAUUGGCUCCCUGGUUCCACGGUCUUUUCUCUCUGCUGAGAGGACGCACUGUGACUCUGAGAACACACAGUCCAAAGUUACAACACACAGGUUCAGGCAGAGCCAGGCCACUCCCUCUGAAGCAGUCUACCGACUGAGGUGACUAUCGGGUUUGAAUCCACGAUGAUGAAUACACAUGUGGUUAUGAGAGACGGGCGAGUGCUGUCAAGGGCUGAGUUCUUAUCGUUGCUGAACACGUACAACUGUUUUCUAAAAGACAAGACCCAACAGCAUCUUGUCUUCUGUGAGUUGGUAUCUUCAGCAAAGAGAAGUACGGUAGAAGAUACAGCAGCAAGGUGAUGGAGAUUAGGAAUAACAGAGGUCCAAUUAUCAAACCCUGUGGGACGCCACAUUGGCCCUGGUAGUUGCACAGCCGUUGCAUAAACACAUUGUUUUGUAUCAUAAUCAUAACAACAGUGCAUUCGGAAAGUAUUCAGCCCACAUUUUGUUACGUUACAGCCUUAUUCUAAAAUGGAUUCAAU